CAAGAAAUGCUUAUUGACAAGUCUAAACUCUGGAGAGCUGGGUAAAAUUUUCUGAACGUGCUAAUACCAUUCAUAGCUCUGUGGAAAUCAAGCAGAGAGGCCCUUUAUUACCAGCCCUUCCCCACCCCUCACCCCGCCCCGCCCAAACCUGCCUCUCUGCCCACUGUGUCUGUUUCUCUCCCCAAGCUGUGGUCUGGACCAGCCAGUGACACAUAAUUCCAAAUCCUGCCCACAGUCUUCUGUGACUUUGGAGGAAAGGCCAGAGUGUUUUCCUAGGGGAGCCCCGUGUUUUCACAUUUUAAAGCAGUGCUUUGUAGCAAAGGAGUGGGAACGUGGAGGAGGAUGGGAGAAGCGAGCUGACUGUUACUGAGUGCCUUUAAGUGUCAGGCAUUGAGGAUAGCUCUACCCUCUGAGAUGAUGUUGUUAUCCACUGUCCAUGGGGAAGCUGAGGUCCAGAGACUAGAAGGGACGUGUCCCAGGUCAUCCAGUUAGCAGGCCCCAACCUUGUGGAUCAAAGGCAAAGAAAGGUGGGCUUCUGGAGGCCUGGCACAAGUACAUGGUACCAGCUGAACCCAUUUGCUCUUACAUCUAUUCCUUGCCUAUUUCUUGCUCUGCUCUGAACCACAGGGAGGCUGACCACUGAAGGCUUCAUGUCAGUGGCUUCUGGGUGGGUUUGACCAAUGGGAGGUGUUGGUGGGAAGCUGGAGGUAGGGAGGAGGGGAGAAGCUAGGAUACUUUUCCCUGUCUCUCUCUAGUGGCAUUUCUGACAGUGACUGUUUCUGGGUCUCUGGUUCCUGCCAGAUAGACCUGCUACUAUUCCGGCUUUUGGUGGGUGACCCUGGCCCCUGGGCUCAGGUAAUUCUGCUUCUCCUUCUCCUUGUGCACCCAGCCCUUGAAGGGGUGAGCAUUACUUCCGGCUGCUUGGGGUUGCCUCAUCAUCACCU
rnacentral:lncRNA from 1 species